UGCUUGAUAUUUGCUUACUUGUUUUCCUGUCAAGUGUCAUUAUGCCUAGUAUGAACUUAUUCUUAUUUCUUCACAGAACCAUUUAAAAAAAGACUACAGAGCAAGAUUCUGCCAUGGAGGAGGAAGUAAGAUUGAUGUACAGCCAGGUCAAAACGUACUGAAACUCAUAGAGGAUUGUUUUGAAAGUUGCAGCAGUGAUCUUACAGUAAACUCUCCAAAUGCAACCCUUUGCUCAGCUCCUGUUGUCAAAAAUAGGAAGAGGACUUCAAUGCAGAGCCAAAGCGUAAGUUAGUUAUGGCAAUGUCACAGUAUAGCUUUGGGUACAGUUUCACUGGGGUACAAAUUUAGUUCUGUAGGAUUUAGUUCUGUAUGAGCAUUGAAGAAGCUCCAUAUGCCACUUGUAACAGUUUAUAGGCUACAAUUUAACCAUCUGUAAUAGUUGUUGAUAAUGGGUUUUUUUCUUAGUUUGUUGUGCUCUAACAGUAAAUACUCUGUAAUUAGAUUUGUUUAAUAGCUUAUUUUCCAGGUUUUUUUCUAGUGAAAGCUUUUUCAGCUUUUUGUCCAGGACACUUAAAUUUUUUAUGGUCUCAGGUUGGAGCACGCUGCCUUGUUACUGCUGGUGGGUAUGGCUGUCUUGGACUCCAUUGGAGUUGGUUUUGGCCACUUUGCUAGAUAUAUGGACACAGUUCUUAGCUAAAUGGUGAACAGUAGAGUUGAAAGGUGAUGCUUGUACAAAAGCUUGUUAACUCCUGAUAGUUAUCUGUACAAUAACUUUAUAUAUAUGUAUCUUUCUUGAAGGGUGGAAACAAGUUGAAGGCCUUGUUAGUGUGCUGGGAAAAUGAUGCCAAUAAUCUAGUUUGUAUAUUUAAUUUUAAUGUUUUGAUUCUAUUUUUUUUAAAUAGGAUAUUCCGUUAAUGGCAGGGUUGAGAACAGGCAUCCUUUAUAGUGGUGUUUGUUUACUUUAGUUUGAUGUUAGAAUACCAUAUAAUGUCAAAUAAUUUCUUGCAAAACCUCAGCCUGUCUUAAGAAAGGUGAAUUAAAUUGUUUAAAAUAAUUCAUUCUAAUGAAAAGAAUAGCUUGCCUGGAGACUAGCAGGAUGCCUGUUUAAAGCUGCAUAUAGAUUUUUGCUGUACACACUGUUUUUCCUGUUAUUUGAAAUUUAUAGUUACUUCUGGAAAGUCUUACCUGAUAGAAAGUUGAAGUGUUUAGUUAAAAUAGAACUGUGAUUCACAUGAGUGUGAUUUAAGGGAAGGAAAGUAUAUCAUGUUCUGUAGAAAUUUGUAUUCCUAUCAAAAUACUGUUGCUUUAUCAACUA